UGAAAUACUCCCAGCUGAUGCAAUCUCUCACAAGGCCACUGCUGAGGGACAAAUGUCUCCGUGGGGAGGGAGGGGCUAUAGACUGACCUGACACAGGCUGCCGUAGAAGCACCCCUCCCAGCCAGAACAAAUUACACUGGAUUUAAUAAACUGCCCUAACUCACAGGAUGCUCGGAGACACGGAAAAGCCUUCCUGUGCAUCAACACAUCUGUCCCCGAGAAGGGACCUGUGCCAUAAUGAGGCUCCAGCCCCACCUGACACUUCCUUAAGGGGAACAGAGGCCCUGAGUGAAGUGGGGCGAUCACUGGGUUCCCAAUCUCAGCCCUGCUGGGGUCAUGAUUGCUGGUGGGAGCUGGCACGGAUGGAGGGACAGACACACAGCACGGGACAGAGCCCUGUCAGUUGGCGCCGGAGACCGGAUAGGGGUGGGAUUGUGGUUAUCAGAGAACCAGCCCUCGGGAGGCCGAGUCCAAGGCCAGUAACACCGUGGACAGCAGAAAACUGAUGGCCCGCACAAGGCACGUCUGUCCCUGGGGUACCGUGUGGCACUUUAGGUGGACAAACAGAAGAAAACAGCAAAGUCCCCUGGAGGACACUAGAGACACGCCCACCUCAGAGAGAGGCUGCCUGGGUUGCAGAGGGCAGUCGGUGUCCUGUGGAGGGACAGCAGUGACAAGGACAUACUCAUGGAGCUGGUGAGGCCUCUGGAUUUCAGCACCUAAUGAUAGGUUGGUUUAAGGCCCAGAGAUCAAGCAAGCAGUGGAGAGAGUUAUCAGCGGGGUUACUGGGGAGGGCUUCUGGCCAGCUCUACACUGGGAAUUAACAGUGCAGAGCCAGCAGGGAGAUGUGAAGCCUCUGGCCAGAGGGGUGGCCCCAGGGCAGCUGUGAAUUGCAAGGAUGCAACAGAGGAGAGCGUGGCUGCUGAGGAGGAAAAGGAAAAUGGAAGAAUGCCUGAGGACUCUCACCAGAAGGGAAGAGGGUGUCUGACACGCCGGAGAUUCCCUGGGGCAUUUCACAGUGCUGCCCUGCUGUGGAAAGUUAAUGGCAAGCAAGGCUUGUGAUUGCAAUAGCUCCUUGAUAUGAUCUGAAUGUAGUUUUAGAUUCAUGUGUGUAAUCAGGUUAUUUAGUCAAGAUACUGUGUGAAAGGCUUUUGGCCCAGACAGGACACUAGCUGGUAGAGCUUUAGAGGUGGAACAAAGCUCAGUCUUCCCUGCCCCUGGGAAUUUACCUGUGGCUCUAUCUUCCCCACCCCUAGGAAUCUGCCUGGGGGGUGGGGGAGAAUGAAUACCAAUGAGAUACCUGCGCAUCCCUAAUGCCCCUCAGGCACCACCUUAAACCUAAGCUACUUAUAUGGCUCCACUCCACGUGUCCUCCAGACAGAGAAAGCCAGACUUUAGUGGUGGUGGGGGGGGGGUUGGUUUUCUCUCUCCCCGUUCUCAGUAGAAAGGCCUCUUAUGUUUUAUACUUCUCAUCUUUUGCACACGCUACAAUCUUAUUACUGUGGUCUUAAACUCGA